GGAAUUAGUUUUUUUCCUCAACAAUUUGACAAAAAGAUGCUUCAUGUUAAAAUGGGACUUGUAAAUUAAACUCAUCAUAGAUACCUGAAUUAAAAUAUAAUAUAAAAUUUAAUAUUUACGCCAGACGCAUGUUUCGUCUACAAAAGACUCAUCAGUGACGCUCAAAUCAAAAAAUGUUAAAAGCAGUCCUCUGCAAAGAGCAAGCUUUAGGUUUUAAUGUAACGUU
rnacentral:lncRNA from 1 species